rnacentral:rRNA from 1 species
AUGCCUUCUGCUCCUCCUCCUCCUCACACUCCACUCGCCGCGCCGACCGCCGCCGUCUCCGUCACCUGCUCCUACCGGGAGGACGAUGACGGCGCCGCCUCGUGGUCGCUCUCCUCCGGCGCACGCUCCUCCUCGCUGCCGUCGUCGUCGCGGGGGCGCCGCCCGCCGCCGUACCGGCGGCUCCUCCACGACGAGGCGCGGCGCCUCCUCCAGGAGCGCCGCGGCCAGGGCGCCGGCGCCGAAACGCCCCGGUGGGUGCGCCGCACCGAGGGCCAGAUGGCCCGGUACGUCGAGGACGACCGCGCCGGCCACGUCCACGGCCGCCACGUCGUCGCCGCGGCCCGCGCCGCACGCGCCACCGCGUCCCACCCGCCCGCCGGCGGGUCCACCAUGCGAGAGGCCAUGGCCUCCUUCGUCGCCAAGCUCACCUUCCGCGAGAUGUGCGUCGUCCUCCGCGAGCAGCGCGGGUGGCGCCAGGCCCACGAUUUCUUCUCGUGGAUGAAGCUCCAGCUGUGCUACGAGCCCAGCGUGGUCGCCUACACCAUCCUCCUCAGGGCGUAUGGCAACGCCAGCAAGAUCGAGCUCGCCGAGGAGGCGUUCCUGGAGAUGCUCGAGGCCGGCGUGGAGCCGGACGCGGUGGCGUGCGGCACCCUGCUGUGCGUGUACGCGCGCCGGGGGAGGCACGGCGACAUGAUGCUCUUCUACGCCGCGACGCGCAGGCGCGGCGUGGCACCGCCCGUCUCCGCCUUCAACUUCAUGCUCUCCUCCCUGCAGAAGCACAGGCUCCACGGCAAGGUGAUCCACCUCUGGAAACACAUGAUGGAAAUGGAAGAAGCCAACAAUGUGGUGCCAAAUCACUUCACAUACACAGUUGUGAUCGGCUCAUUUGUCAAGGCGGGUCUCCUGGAGGAGGCCAUGGAUGUCCUGGGGAAGAUGAGGGCCUCCCGACUCGUCCCGGAGGAGGCGACUUACAGUUGCCUGAUCAGCUUGAGUUCCAGGCAUGGCAGAGGGGAGCAGGUUGUGAUGCUCUAUGAGGAGAUGAGGGCUCAUGGCAUUGUCCCCAGCAACUACACCUGUGCAUCCCUCCUGGCACUCUAUGACAAGAGUGAGGACUACUCGAAGGCGCUCUCGCUCUUCUCAGAGAUGGAGCGAAGCAGGGUUGUCAUUGAUGAGGUCAUCUAUGGGAUCCUCAUUAGGAUCUAUGGUAAGAUCGGGCUCUACGACGAUGCGCAGCGCACUUUCGAGGAAAUCGACAGUGCGGGUCUUCUGAGUGAUGAACAGACUUAUGUGGCAAUGGCUCAGGUUCACAUGAAUGCUCGCAACUAUGAUAAGGCGUUGCAGGUUUUGGGUUUGAUGAGGUCGAGGAAUGUGAAGCCUUCAAAGUUCUCUUACGGCGCUCUUCUUCGAUGUCAUGUCGCGAGGGAAGACAUAGCUGCAGCAGAAGAUGUCUUCAGAGCUCUGUGCAAAUAUGGCCUCCCUGAUGUGUUCUGCUGCAAUGACCUACUGAGAUUAUAUGUCAAGCUGGGCCAGCUAGAGAAGGCAAGUGCAUUCAUUCUGAAGAUGAGAAAAGAAGAUAUCCAGCUUGAUGAGGCCCUCUGCAUGACUGUAAUGGAAGUUUGCUGCAAAAGCGGGAUGAUCACCGAUGCGGAUAAGAUACUGAAAGAGAUGAACAAUGGUGGAGUGACCAUGAAGAGUUCAACAAUGGUUUCUAUUAUAGAGAUGUAUGCUAGAAACAGAACUAGUGUGAUGCAGGAACAAGAUAGUUCGUCGAAGGCACUAGCCUGUCGGACCGACAGUUCGGCACUGAACGCGACGUUAAAGUCAUUGUUGGACACACCUGGGGGUUCGUCCAUCGCGUGCCAAUUGAUCAGAAAAUUGGCUAGGGAAGGGAGGACAUGUGAGGCAAAAUUCCUUCAUGAACAGCUGACUCAGUUGGGAGUCAAGCCUGAAGAUUCUGCAACAUCUACUCUCAUUGUCCAAUAUGGCCAGGAACAGAAGUUACAUCAAGCAGAGGAACUGUUUGAGUCGGCAUCGACAUCGUUUCCAAUACGAGGGCCUGUCUACAAUGCCAUGGUCGACGCAUUAUGCAAGUGCGGCAAUAUCGGAGAGGCGUAUCAUCUCUUUAUGAAAAUGGCUGAUCAAGGCCAUAGCAGAGAUGUUGUGACAAUUAGCAUACUUGUCACUCACCUGACCAAACAUGGAAAGUUUCAGGAGGUGGAGAACAUCAUGCAUGGCUGCUUCCAUGGUGAAGUUGAGCUUGAUACUGUUGCGUAUAAUACAUUUAUCAAGUCGAUGCUCGAGUCAGGCAAACUAUACUCAGCUGUCAACAUAUAUGAUCGCAUGAUAUCCACUGGGGUUCCUCGGUCCUUGCAGACUUUCAAUAUAAUGAUAAGUGUUUAUGGCCUAGGAGGAAAGCUGGACAAGGCUGCUGAAAUGUUUGCUGCUGCACAGGAGCUAGGCUUACUGAUCGACGAGAAGAUAUACACCAACAUGCUUAACUUCUAUGGAAAGGCUGGGAGGCAUCAGGAGGCGUCUUCACUAUUCGAUAGAAUGAAGGAACUUGGUAUCAUGCCUGGAAAGAUCAGUUGCAACUCCAUGAUCAAUGCCUACGCCACUGCCAGGCUGCAUGAUGAAGCAGAGAUUGUUUUCCAGGAGAUGCAAUCACACGGUCAAGUUCCCGACUCGACGACAUACCUUGCAUUGAUCAGAUCAUACUCAGAAAGUAGAUGCUACUCCAAAGCUGAGAAAGCCAUCCAGAUGAUGUUGACCAGCGGCAUAACCCCUUCAUGCCCUCAUUUUAGCCACCUCAUUUUUGCCUUUCUGAAGGCAGACCAGAUUGAUGAAGCCCAGAGGAUCUGCAGCCAGAUGCAGGAGAUUGGCGUGGCUGUUGAUUUAGCAUGUUGCCGGGCAAUGAUGAGGGCGUACCUUGAGCACGGUCGCGUCGACGAGGGCAUAUCGCUCUUCGAGACAACACGCGGGUCACUGAAACCUGACAGCUUCAUCCUGAGUGCUGCAUUUCAUCUCUAUGAGCAUUCAGGCAGCGAGCCUGAAGCUGGGGAUGUGCUGGAAGCCAUCGGUCUACAUGGUGCCUCUUUUUUGAGAAGUCUAAAGGUUGGAUCAAAGUUGGAACCAACUUAA